AUUGAACGCUGGCGGCAGGCCUAACACAUGCAAGUCGAGCGAGCGGCGGACGGGUGAGUAAUGUAUGGGGACUGCCCGAUAGAGGGGGAUAACUACUGGAAACGGUGGCUAAUACCGCAUACUAUCGGAUAACCCAUAUGGGAUUAGCUAGUGGGUGGGGUAAAGGCUCACCUAGGCGACGAUCUCUAGCUGGUCUGAGAGGAUGAGCAGCCACACGGGGACUGAGACACGGCCCAGACGCCUACGGAGGCAGCAGUGGGGAAUAUUGCGCAAUGGGCGCAAGCCUGACGCAGCCAUGCCGCGUGUAUGAAGAAGGCUUUAGGGUCGUAAAGUACUGUUAUCGGGGAGGCGUUACCCGCAGAAAAAGCACCGGCUAACUCCGUGCCAGCAGCCGCGGUAAUAC
rnacentral:rRNA from 1 species